rnacentral:rRNA from 1 species
GACGAACGCUGGCGGCGUGCCUAACACAUGCAAGUCGAACGGAACUGCUUUGAAAGAUUUCUUUGGAAGGAAUCUGAUUUAGUUUAGUGGCGGACGGGAGAGUAACCCGUGAGUAACCUGCCUUCAAGAGGGGAAUAACAUUCUGAAAAGAAUGCUAAUACCGCAUGACAUAUCGGAACCACAUGGUUUUGAUAUCAAAUAUUUUAUCGCUUGAAGAUGGACUUGCUUCCGAUUAGUUAGUUGGUGAGGUAACGGCUCACCAAGAGCGCGAUCGGUAGCCGGACUGAGAGGUUGAGCGGCCACAUUGGGAGUGAGGCACGGCCCAGACUCCUACGGGAGGCGGCGGUGGGGGAUAUUGCGCAAUGGGGGCAAGCCUGACGCAGCAACGCCGCGUGAAGGAGGAAGGUUUUCGGAUAGUAGACUUCUUUUAUUAAGGACGAAAAAUGACGGUACUUAAUGAAUAAGCUCCGGCUAACUACGUG